CCCCCCGUUUCAAAAUUCUUGUCUUAGAUUUGUCUAUAUAUGAAUGUAUCUAGUCACAUUUUAGUAUGUAGAUACAUACAUUUCUAGACAAACUUAAGACAAUAAUUUUGGUACGGAGGGAGUAAUAU
rnacentral:pre_miRNA from 1 species